rnacentral:rRNA from 1 species
UACGGAAGGCAGCAGUGGGGAAUAUUGCACAAUGGGCGAAAGCCUGAUGCAGCUAUGCCGCGUGUAUGAAGAAGGCCUUAGGGUUGUAAAGUACUUUCAUCGGGGAGGAAAAACAAAACUAAUAAUUUUAUUUCUUGACGUUACCCGAAAAAGAAGCACCGGCUAACUCCGUGCCAGCAGCCGCGGUAAUACGGAGGGUGCUAGCGUUAAUCAGAAUUACUGGGCGUAAAGAGCACGUAGGUGGUUUUUUUAAAGUCAGAUGUGAAAUCCCUGGGCUUAACCUAGGAACUGCAUUUUGAAACUGAAAUACUAGAGUAUCGUAGAGGGAGGUAGAAUUCUAGGUGUAGCGGUGAAAUGCGUAGAUAUCUGGAGGAAUACCUGUGGCGAAAGCGGCCUCCUAAACGAAUACUGACACUGAGGUGCGAAAGCGUGGGGAGCAAACAGGGAUUAGAUAC